rnacentral:rRNA from 1 species
AGUUGCUAGUAAUCGCGAAUCAGAAUGUCGCGGUGAAUGCGUUCCCGGGUCUUGUACACACCGCCCGUCACACCAUGGAAGUUGGGGGUGCCCAAAGCCGGCAAGCAAAUAUGCUGUCUAAGGCAAAACCAAUGACUGGGGUGAAGUCGUAACAAGGUAGC